UUUCCGGUGUGUCCUUUAUGGACUGUACUCCGUCUUAGCACUAUCCUCAAGUUUUACCUGAGAGGCCACGCUUCAGGUCGGACCGUCUUCCAUAUAUCUACUGACUUCAUAUAAACGAAAGUGUACUGAGGACUCACUAAUCUGCACUACUAGUAACAAAGUAAUCCGACAAUCAGAUUGGACCCGGUCAUGUUAGGUACCAAAGGAAAACGAAAAUAUCAUUGGUUCUAUACUGAUGCAUGACUUCGCUCGGAACGCGGCAAGAAUUAACAAUGGAAGAAAAUACUACAGACGUGUUUAUUAACGAUAAAGUUAUUUUUGUUUUUAUGAAAUAGCGAUUGAAUAAAAAUAUUAGGUAUAUGAGUUUUAUUUAGAGAUGAAAUAAGUCAAG